UCCUCCGAGCGCCUCCCAGCGCACCGCGCCCCCAGAACCCGGCUCCAGGGGGCUCGGUAUUCCCCAGCGCCGGCUCCGGGCAGUCCCGGAAGGCUCAAGGGCUGGGCGCGCGGGCUGAUCGAGACCGUCCGGGUCCUGGCUCUCGGGUCACUUGCAGAGGCCUGAGCAGAGCGUUAAUGAGAAUGAUCCAGAAGGGAGGAGAAGCUAAUGGUGCAGUGGAGAGCAGAGUCCCUGAGCAGGUGAGCAGGGAUGGGGGCCCAUGCCCAUGUGGGAAGCGGGCGCCACACUGCUUCCUGAUGGAAGGCAGAACGCCUGGGCCAGGGUGCAGGCAGGUGUCACAGAGAAUGUCGUUCAUGACUACAUCCUAAUUCCCAGAACCUGCGAAUAUGCUACUUUACAUGGCAAAAGGGAGUUUGCAAAUGUGAUUAAGAAUUAAGCUAAAGACCUUCAUACAGGGAGAUUAUCCUGGAUUCUCCAGGGGGCUGGUGUCAUCACAAGGAUCUUUAAAAGUAGAAGUAAGGAGGAGACGUGACCACGGAAGAAGGGUCAGAGAGACGCAACGCUUCUGAGGAACUUUGAGGAUGGAGGAAGGGACCAUCCUCCAAGGAAUGUGGGUGGCCCCUGAAUGAAGAGCCAGGAGAAGGAACACAACCCUGCCUGCCAACAUCUUGAUCUCAGCCCAGUGAAUCCUGACAGACUUCUAAGACUUCUAACCCGUGGAACUGCAAGAUAAUAACCGUGUGUUUGAAGCCACCAAGAGUGUGGUCAUUGGUUUUGGCAGCCAUAGAAAAGUAAUACAGUGGGUCAGGGAUCCGGGUGGGAAGGAGACAGCACUCAGAGAAGGGAUCUGGGUGGGAAGGAGACAGCCCUCAGAGAAGGGCUUGUGGGGAGCCUGGGGGUGCUGGGAGAGGAGCUGAUGUGAAACAACCAGCUGACUGGGAAGCUGGUGGCCCCAGGCCGCACCACAGGCAAGAGCAGCUCUCAGCCCCAGGAGGCCAACAGUGGUCACUGGUGUGGGAGCCAGUUUACAUUUCCAAAAGAAGCUGCACUUGAGGAUUACUGUGAAGCUGACUUUAGGGCUGGAGGGGCACGGGGCCAGAGUUCUGGGUUAGUGGCUUCUGACCCUGGUCCUAGCAACGCUUUUACUCCAGGUCAGCCUCCUGCACCUUGCCUCCUGGGCUUCCCCUUGACCCCCUCCUAGGGCCUCUGGAAAGGUGUGAUGAGUGGACUUGAGCGGUGAAAGUUGUUCCUUUGAAGCAGUCCGUGGCUGAUGCUCCCUGAAUGGCAUGAGAGCUCAUUGGCAUGGCCUCUGGGUGCUACUGGGAGCCAGGGCUUUCAGGAUGGCCCAUUAUCCAUCCAUGUCCCUGUGGGCACAUCCUACAUCAGUCUGUCUGAGGACAUUAAAAUAAUACCAGGAAUGAUA
rnacentral:sRNA from 1 species